CUUGACUGGAGAGAGUUCUGGGAGGAGAGGUGCCAAACGGCAACUGGACUCUCAGGCGAUGGGGUGGGCCCCACUUUCUCCCUUUUCUGCAACCAGGUCGGAUGAUGCAGAUGGUGAUGGGAGGAGUCAAAUGGCAGUAGAUGUGAGAAGAGGACCCACACACUGAAAUGCAACACCCAAGGUUUGAAUUAAACAAGUGGUGUGUGGGUGUGUUGAACCAUAUUUUUUACUUUUAAAGCCACCUUCUUUACCAUGCCAAAACAUGGCUGGGAAGAGGGCAGCUCUACUCUACAGAAUACUUGUGGGACCAGGCGUUGGGCUCCCCAUGCCCCAGCCCAUAUAAAUAAGAGACCAAUAAGACUGGUUUGGGGUCAAAACAGGCCACAGCUUUAUUGAAUACAGAUGAAAGAGGUUUGGCUUGGGCGUAAAGGUAAAGGUAAAGGGACCCCUGACAGUUAAGUCCAGUCGCAAACAACUCUGGGGUGGCGGCACUCAUCUCGCUUUACAGGCUGAGGGAGCUGGCGUUUGCCCGCUCCGCAGAGUUUUUCCAGGUCGUGUGACCAGCAUGACUAAGCCGCUUCUGGCACAAUGGAACACCAACACAAGAGCAGCACAUGGAAACGCUGUUCCCACCAGAGAGGUACCUAUUAAUCUACUUGCACUGCUUUCGAACUGCUACGUUGGCAGGAGCAGGGACCGAGCAAUGGGAGCUCACCCUGUCGCGGGGAUUAGAACCACCAACCUUCUGAUCGGCAAGCCCAAGGCUCGGUGGUUUAGACCACAGCACCACCCGCGUUCUUUGGCUUGGGGAUGGGGCAAUCUAAAUACUUCUGUCCCGCCCGCCGGAAGUGACACCUGGAUCCCUUUAAUGGGAUACCCCAGCAUUUGGAGGGGCAGGCAGAGACUACAACAACAACAACAACAACAACAACAACAACAACAACAAUAAAUUUAUUAUUUAUACCCCGCCCAUCCGGCUGGGUUUCCCCAGCCACUCUGGGCAGCUUCCAACAAAACACUAAAAUACAAUAACCUAUUAAACUGACUUCAGAUGUCUUCUAAAAGUUUGGUAGUUAUUUUUCUCUUUGACAUCUAGUGGGAGGGUGUUCCACAGGGUGGGCGCCACUACCGAGAAGGCCCUCUGCCUGGUUCCCUGUAACUUGGCUUCUCGCAGUGAGGGAACCGCCAGAAGGCCCACAGCGCUGGACCUCAGUGUCCGGGCAGAACGAUGGAGGUGGAGACGCUCCUUCAGGUAUUCUGGACCAAGGCCGUUUAGGGCUUUAAAGGUCAGCACCAACACUUUGAAUUGUGCUCGGAAAUGUACUGGGAGCCAGUGUAGGUCUUUCAAGACAAGUGUUAUAUGGUCUCGGCGGCCGCUCCCAGUCACCAGACUAGAUGCCGCAUUCUGGAUUAGUUGUAGUUUCCGGGUCACCUUCGAAGGUAGCCCCACAUAGAGCGCAUUGCAGUAGUCCAAGCGACAGAUAACCAGAGCAUGCACCACUCUGGUGAGACAGUCUGCAGGCAGAUAGGGUCUCAGCCUGCGUACCAGAUAGAGCUGAUAAACAGCUGCUCUGGACACAACCUUCCCUGCAUCCAAAACAAAGGAUUGCCCCAAUGCCCAACCAGUUGUGACGAGUGCUAUGAGGUAGGCAAAACCUCUGGGUCAGUGCCAAUUAGCCCGGUGGGCAAAUUCCUAUCUGGCCCCAUAAAGAGCGGCGACCACCGUAGCCACAGCAAAGUCAUUGACUAUCAGCUUAAACAGAGGGUCGGUGGGCAGGGAAAAUCUUGGCAAAGGAACAAACAGGUAGUGCCCCAGGUGUGGGCUGCUCAAAUGGGGCGAGGGUCGCCUACAUGCUCUGUCGGCUCCACCCCCUGGCACAGCCCAAGUCUGCACCAAAGCAGGGUGCAAGCAAAAAUAUAUAAAAUAAAAUAAAAUUGGGAGGAUGCUGAAUGAGAAAUGACAGUGCUCUAAAUCUAUCUAUAGAACUUUGGGGUUUUUGUGUUGUUGUUUUUUGCCAGGAGCCAGAUAGGCAGUUCAUUAAAUCCACACAAUUUGUAUGCUUUCAUAACAACAUAGUUACAUGCCCAACACAGGAAUCUAUCAAAUUCUGUUUAUAAGGAUUAUUGAUGUAUCAGUUGACUAUGCAGCCCCAGAGUCAAAACUCUGGCGGAUUUUACACCAGUCUUUUAAAAUAAAGAGAUUCUGGGGAAGUAAGAAGACGCUCGGCUAAUGUGAAAAUAAAUGCAUGUCUUGAAAAGUGGUAUAAAGAGAUAUUUUAUUUGCAGCCGUUUACCCUGUAAAGACAUGAAUUCUCAAUCUUUGUUGCUGCAUAGCAUUACACUGGAAAUAAAGUGCCUUGUGUGAAUGAAAGUAAUUGUUUUAAACCAAAAUCUAAACUCUCAUUUUAAGAAAUAAGAGUGUUGCCUGAGAAACAAAGGCGACAACAGAUACUGCAUUUCACAAACACAGAGAGAGAGAGGGAGGGAGGGAUUUGUUUAUUAUAUUUUCUUCCUGGUCAAGUUCAUUACCUCCACUGCAAUGGGAUUUCUCAUUUGGAUGGUCGUCAGCAAACCGGAUAAAUUAAUCAUUCUGUGCCCAGUAUUGUCUUCUGAAGGAGAACACCAGCUUUCCAAUCACACAGGGUAAGUUGAAUAAAUGCCCUGUAGGAACUGUGCAAAACCUGAACCUGGAACUAACAUUUUUUUCCUGCCUAACUUUAUGAAAAAGACCUAUCUUUAGGGGCAAUCACUCUCUCUAUAUAUAUUUUAAAAAUGUUUACGGGUGUACCAUUGUCUUGUUCUUAAUUUGAAAGGGCUGUGUGAAACCAGCCAGGCCUCAAAACUGGCCUGGUCUUGAAGGAUUUAUUUAUUUAAUUUAUAUACCACUUCAUACUCCAAUACAAAUCCCUGAGCGGUUUACAAAUCCCAACAGAAAGGAAUUAAUGUAAGAGAUACAAAAUGAAUUCCCCAUUCAAAAGGAAAAAAAUGCUGCUACUGGUUGUCGUCAUUGCAAUUCCACAUUUUAAGUAACAUAAUGAGAUAAAUCUCUCUGAACAAUGUGCAUGAGUAAAACAACUAAAAACCAGAAAUGCAGAUCCGUAUUCAAAACAUAAAAAAUGCAUUGAUACAUCAAAAUGCAACGUAAUCACAAUAUAGCAUUUGAGAAACUUGUUGAUAUUGCAAAAAGGAACAUAUAAUGCAGUCACCAAAAUCAUUCACCUGCAUUUACAGCACAUGAGGAAAAGAAUGUCAUUCGAAUGUGCUAAGCACCAUGCAUUACCUGGACCGACCCCUUAAGAAUAGCUGUCAACGUUUCCCAUUUUUAAAGGGAAAUUCCUUUAUUCCAAAUAGGAUUCCUCACUAGAAAAGGGAAAACUUGACAGCUAUGCUUAAGAUGGAGUGAGCUACGUACACAAGGAAAGAAAGAAAAGGCGAAUUUUCCUGCACCCCAAUUUAAAUGUUACAGCUUCCCCUGGGGUCUCAUGGGUUCGCAAAGCCGGUCCCUGAUACAGUCAUACCUCGGGAUGAAUACGCUUCAGGUUAAGCAUUUUCGGGUUGCACUCCGUGGCGACCCGGAAGUAACGGAACGCAUUACUUCCGGGUUUCGCCGCUCGCGCAUGCGCAGAUGCUCAAAAUGACGCCACAUGCAUGUGCUGAAACAGCAAAGCGCGACCCAUGCACGCGCAGUUGCAUAUUACAUUCGCUUCAGGAUGCGGACGGGGCUCCGGAACGGUUCCCGUUCGCAUCCAGAGGUACCACUGUAUUUGAACAUUCCCGUUCUUACCCCAUCCCUUGGCAGCAGACCUACUGUGCAGUUUAAGGAUAACUUGUUUGGCUCUCAUCUAUAAGGCGAUAAGAUACAGUGCCAUAAAUACAGUGUUUUCAGCAUCGACGUUUACUGCCAGGCAACCUCUAGCCAGUAUUUUAUUAUUUGUUCCAAAGCCAAGAAGAAUGGGCUUCAGAUCGUAUCUUUGCUUGGUCUUAUUGAACAUUUCAACUCUGUGCCAUCAAGAGAUAAAUAUGAUCUUCUAUUAUCUGAGAUUUAGAAUGGAAAUAUGGCCCCCUCUGUAACCUAAUGCUUCUCCCACAGUAUACCAUGAUUUUGCCCAGAAGUUCGUCUGAGAGAGCCAAGCUACACAUUACACAGCAAUUGUCUCUGCCCUUUUUUCAAGCACAACUUUUAAACUCUGUGGAAGGGGAAGCUCCUUUGGGGAAAAUAUCUGGAGCUAGGAAAAUGCAGGCCGAGAAAGGGGCCUACCACUCUCAAUCUCUUCCUUUAGAAACACCCUUUCCUGUUCAAAAAGGACACGCCAUGUGUUUGCAUACAACAGCAUUCCCCAACCUGGUGCCCAGAUGUUGUUGCAUGUCAUCUCUCAACAUUUCAAUCCCUUAGGAAAGGGAUUGGAAAUAAAACUGCCAAUAUCCUAAGGUCAUAAUGCAAAUCUACAGUGUGACCACAUUUGGGAUGCUGCGUACAGUUCUGGUUGCAGUGUUUGGGAGCUUUUCGUUUAGAGAAAAUGCAAGUAAGAGGUGACUUGAGAGAAGGGAAUAAAAGGGCAUGGGGCUUGAAGAAAGCAGACAAAGAUAAGUUUUCUCCCUCUCUCAUAACACUAAGAAUAGUGAACAUCCAACAAAGAUGAGUGUUGGAAGAUUCAGGACAGAUGAUGAUGAUGAUGAUGAUGAUAACAAUAUCAUUACCUGCUGCCUUGUGGGACAUCUUCAGGAGAAGAAAAAGUUUCUACACAAAUCCAGAGUGGAGUUGCUAAGAUGAUUGGAUGAGAACUUGUACACCUCCUUCGGGCAAUUCCUGCAGCCAAGCUGGUGCCAAAUGUAUUGCUCUGCUUUCCUUUGGACCACAUCAGAAAGGCCGAGGAGAAGAAAAAGAAGGAAGAGGAGGAGGAGGAGGAGGAGGAGGAGGAGGAGUUUGGACUUGAUAUCCCACCUUUCACUCCCCUUAAGGAGUCUCAAAGCAGCUAACAAUCUCCUUUCCCUUCCUCCCCCACAACAAACACUCUGGGAGGUGAGUGAGGCUGAGAGACUUCAGAGAAGUGUCCCUAGCCCAGCAGCUGCAUGUGGAGGAGCGGGGAAGCGAACCUGGUUCAACAGAUUACGAGUCUACCGCUCUUAACCACUACACCACGCUGAAGGGGGGGGGUCUUGUUGUCUAGCAAGCCCAGGACCUCCAAACACACUGCCCAGGCUUGCACCCCAGAGAGGCCACUUUGGUGCUGCUAAAACAAUGCAGGAGGCAGCCACUUCAGCCACAGCAGGUGCUGUGAUUCUCCAGCGGUUUGACCGCCGGAGGCACACUCCAUCGUCUCUCGAGACAGACGGAUGCCAACAAUAAUAAUAGAUUUAUUUAUACUCCGCCUCCCCACCCCUCAUGGGACUCGAGAUAACAGAGAUAACAGAAAGUAUUUCUGAAUGCAGAGCAUAGUUAAACUCACUUUCACAGGAACGGCUGCCAACUUUAAAAGAGAAUUAGAUACAUUCACGGAGAAUAGCAUAUUAACUGUAUGUUUCUAAAUACCAGUUUGCUGAGAAUCAAGGAAGACGAGACUGCUCUUGUGCUUGGGUCCUACGUGAAGGGUUGUUGUGAAUAUAAAGAGAGAAAGAGGAAACCAACCAUUUGACCAACCCCCUUGAGGAGGAAGAGCAGAACAGGAAUGGAAUAAAUGGGUUUAUACCGAAGCUGUUUUAGGUGCACGCCUAAAAAUGCAAAGAGUAAAUAUGAAAAAUGCACCUGUAAACCUAUGUAUCGUCCAGGUGGCCUUAUCAGGGAGGGAGCAGCAGUUGGUUGUACAGUGGUACCUCGGGUUAAGAACUUAAUUCGUUCUGGAGGUCUGUUCUUAACCUGAAACUGUUCUUAACCUGAAGCACCACUUUAGCUAAUGGGGCCUCCUGCUGCUGCCACGCUGCCGGAGCACGAUUUCUGUUCUCACCCUGAAGCAAAGUUCUUAACCCGAGGUACUAUUUUUGGGUUAACGGAGUCUGUAACCUGAAGCAUAUUUAACCUGAAGCGUAUGUAACCUGAGGUACCACUGUACCUGAUUGCUGAACGCCCAUUCCACAAGAAGCCUAAGAUUGCCUCUGUGUCGUGUGUGGAAUAGCUCAAAUGGUUCCAGUCAUAACCCCGAUAAUUAAUAAUGCCUUUUAUUCAAAUUGAAGAAGAGAGGGGCGCAUAAAGGUGAGAAGAGAUUGUCUUGUUUUGGAAGAGGAGGACAUUUCAAAAGCAAACUCCAUGAUUAUCCAGGCAUUAAAUAACCUGGUAUAAUUUCUCUGUGUGCUCUGCUCUUUCUCUCCCGUUAAUUCCUCCUGAAGUUUAUAGCGAUCGCUCAUUUCUCUGGCAACAUGAAACAGAUGAUAACAGAACUCCCCUUUUGUAUUGGGUUUUGCUUUGGCUCUCUAUCUAGCCUUUGCUGGAAGACCAGGAAAAGUCAGGAGAGGGGGAAAACUGCUGUCUUCCCCCAUGGUGCUCAGUGCUAAAGUAGCAAGAGUGCUUCUGAACCCUGUUCCUUCUCCCUAUGUGCUUUAAAGGGGUAAUUAAGUGGAUUUAUGCUCGCCAGGAAAAAUUCAGAAAGUGCAGGGAGUUGGGUGUGUGUAUGUGAAGAGAGAGCAUAUUGAAACAAGCACACUUAUCUGCCUAAUCCUGUUACUCAUAAUCUGGAAAGCACUGGAUUUUGUGGAUUGAGAAAUGAUUUGAGGAGGCUGGGAAUGGGAUUUGACUUUUUUGUUUGUUUGUUUGUUUGUUUGUUUGUUUGUUUGUUUGUUUCCUUGAGGUGCAUUAAAUGACUGAGAUGUCCGCUACUGUUUAGAUGACCUUUCAUGAGUAGAGUGCAACUCGGGUGCAAAUUUACAGCUAUCUUUUCAUCUCACUUUGGAAAAUAAGGAGACUGGUGUUAAUUACAACCCAUAGUAUUCCCCUGGUGUCAACUAGUUAUGUUGAUGAUAGACUGCUAUCUGCAGUUCAUAGCUUGGGGGUAGUCCUGGAUCCUUUGCUGUCGCUCAAGGCUCAGGUGGCCUCAGUGGCCCGGAGUGCCUUCCAUCAGCUUUGGCUGGUGGCCCACGCUACGCCCCUAUCUGGACAGGGAUAGUCGAACUACUACUCUGUGCUCUGGUAACCUCAAGGUUAGAUUACUGCAAUGCGUUAUACGUAGGGUUUGGAAACUUCAGCUAGGGCAGAAUUCAGCGGCCAGGCUGCUCACUGGAGCAAUACAAUUUGAGCAUAUUACAGUCGUACCUCGGAAGUCGAACAGAAUCCAUUCCCGAAGUCCAUUCAACUUCCAAAACAUUCGGAUACCAAGGCACAGCUUCCAAUUGGCUGCAGGAAGCUCCUGCAGCCAAUCGGAAGCCACAACAGACGUCCGGGUUCCAAAGAACGUUCGCAAACCAGAACAAUCACUUCUGGGUUCGGGAGCCAAAACGUUUGUCUCGCAAGGCGUUCGACUUCAGAUGUAUGACUGUACAUCGAUCCUGGUCCGACUGCACUGGCUACCAGUUAGUUUCUGGGCCCAAUUCACAGUGCUGGUUUUGACCUAUAAAGCCUUAAAUGGCCCAGGACCGCAAUAGCUCAAGGCCUGCCUCUUUCCAUAUGAACCUACCCGGACCCUGAGAUCAUCUUCUGAGGCCCUUCUUUGUGUGCCUCCUCCUCAAGAGGUCCAGAGGGUGGCAACACGAGAACGGGGCCUUCUCUGCAGUGACUCCCCAUCUGUGGAAUGCUCUCCCCAGUGAAGUUUGCCUGGCGCCUUCAUUAUACACCUUUAGGUGCCAGACAAAAACGUCCUUUUUAACCAGGCGUUUGGUUGAUCCGAUUUACAUCCUAUGCCCUUUUAAAACACGUUUUUUUGGGGGAGCUAUUGGGUUGUUGUUGUUGUUUGUUUAAUGUAUUUUGUGGUUUUAUAUCUUUAUUUUAUUCUGUGAACUGCCGUGAGACCCCCAGGUAUAGGGUGGUAUAUUAAUAAUAAUUAAUAAUAAUAAUAAUAAUAACAACAACAACAACAACCUGCCCAGCUAGGUGGAUGGGUCUAAGGCCUCUAGCUUUUGGGUCUCCAGCUUUGGAACUACAAUUCCCAUCAUCCCUGACCACUAGUCCUGCUAGCUAGGGAUGAUGGGAGUUGUAAUCCAAAAACAGUUGAGAACCUAGGUUUGGGAAACAAAGCAUUAUAUUGAGGCAGACCUACCGGUCAGUCUAGCUCAUAUUGCAUGCAAUGGCUGGCAGUGAUUCUUCAAGUUCUCAUGUAGGAGUUUCUCCCAGCCCUACCUGAAGUGUCAGGGGUUGAACUAGAGACCUUCUGCAGGCAAGACAGAUGAUCUACCACUGAGCUAUGGCAGCUUUGGGGCCUUUGUGCCCUUGUAUUAAUGGGCUAGGCUCAAACUUAAAUGACCUUAUAGAGAAAUUCAUGGAGGUUAAGUGUAGGGGCACCAUUCAUUAGGGGUAAAACUAUCACUCCAUAGACUGUCUUCUGGCAGGGAAGUACAUUUUGCUAUAACAGAGGAGGGAAGAAAAGGGAUGCAGAGCAGUAACUUUUGGCACAAUCUCCCCUUGCAGCUGCUCAUUGGGAGAAACUGUAAUACAGUAAAGAACUUGUACCUGAGUUUGCUUAUUUCCUCCUCCCCUCCAAUCCAUGUUCCUUUCAUGCCGUGACUUUUUAGAUUCUAAACCUGAGAGCAGGAACUGUAUUUUUUUUUUCUAUUUAAGGAUCUGUAAACCAGCCUGGGGGGAUGCGGGUGGCGUUGUGGUCUAAACCACAGAGCCUAGGGCUUGCCGAUCAGAAGAUCAGUGGUUCGAAUCCCCACGACAGGGUGAGCUCCCGUUGCUUGGUCCCAGCUUCUGCCCACCUAGAAGUUCAAAAGCACGUCAAAAUGCAAGUAGAUAAAUAGGUACUGCUCCGGCGGUAAGGUAAAUGGCAUUUCCGUGUGCUGCUCUGGUUCGCCAGAAACGGCUUAGUCAUGCUGGCCACAAGACCCGGAAGCUGUACACCAGCUCCCUCGGCCAGUAAAGCGAGAUGAGCGCCGCAACUCCAGUGUCGGCCGCGACUGGACCAAACGGUCAGGGGUCCCUUUACCUUUAAACCAACCUGGGAGCCUUCCCCUGUACCCAUUGUUCCUAUCAGUUUCCAAGCUGCAACUUUUUAUUUUAUUUUUUCAAAAGGUGGGUUUGUUGGGCAAAGAUGGUGUUCUUUAAUCCGAUUUUAAAAUGCAAAUCUAAAGUUCUGGGACGCGCUUGGAUCCUUCCUGCAAAAUACGGAGUCUGGAGGCAUUUUUCAAAGGACUAGGUGUGCUUCUGAAAGCGGAAUAGCUCCUGCAAUCAAGAGUUCACUGCAAAUAAUUGCGGUACCUUUUCUUCCUCUUGUUUCCAGCUGCAGUCAGAAAAAUGCGGCUCAGAAUUAGGGCACAAGAAAGGGCCUCCCCCCUUCCUUCUUCUAUGUCCUCCUUCCCUCUCCUGAAUUCUGCUGGGAGCCAGCUGCUCUUGCUCCAUUAGGUUUAACACCUCCAAACCCAGCCCACGCUAUCAGCACUCACAUGUUCUCCCCUGUAAUAAUAGGGCUGGGGAUUGGGGAAGAGAAGAAAGCAGGGCUGCUGAAACCUGGGAGCUCCUUCUCUCUCUCCUCCCCCCCCCCCACUUCCCACAUAGUAACUGUUGUGAGAAGAAGUACUCACCACCUAUCAGCCUGUGCAGGAUGAAAGGAAACAUCCCAGGUUCUUUAUCACAGUGGAAAGGAGGGGACAGAGAUGGUUUUCUAAUGGUUUGAUUUCACAGGCUUUUGUGCCGCUUAAGUACUAUUCAACUUCUUCCAAAUCUCCAGAGGGGGAGUUUCCAUGUGGCCAGGCAGGUCUAUUUUUAUCAGCUCAGCCAGAUCAUACAAAAAAAAGGCCCUAUCUGACCAGAUAUCUAGCUAAACCCUGGCAGAGAUGCAAACAAUAGGUUACUUCUUCCACUCCCAAGAUUACACACAAAAAUAAAAUAAUACGCGUUGCUUUCAUCCCAUACAUUCAGAAGCAACCACUACACUUAUCUCUUUCUUUCUCGACUUUCAGGGGCUAUCGCGUCUUCUUAAUAAGGAUUUGCACCUGGGAAUUGCAAGCGUCAGCCGCAGAUACAACUUCUUUCUGAUAGUGAAGAAACAAUUUCGGUUGCAGCUUAGGAACACGGGAAACUGCCUUGUAUUCGGUCAAACCACCUGUCCAUUCAGUUCAAUACUGUCAACAGUGACAGGCAUCGGCAGGAGUCUGGAGAUAUUGGAGACUGACGCCAGAUACCGAGGUUUGAUCAGGAUGAGGAGGGGAAAGAGAUGCUGAAGAAAUCAAUGUGGAAACCUUUCUGCGAUCUACUGGCAUAAUCCUUGGAUAUGGGGUGGCCGUGUUCAGAGGAAAGCUCACCUCCACAUUAGCAAGCUUUCUCACUGAGAACCUUUGAUUAGGUGCAAGGGUAAUUAUAGUGAAUUAACUUGGUGGUGACAUUUUGAAAAUAAUGCGCUAUGCACACAGCAUCACUGGUGAGUUCUCACAGGAUUCUUAGCGCUGGAGAAAGAAACUGGACUUUUCUCUCUCUCCCAGAAAAGCAUAUGUGCAUUUAACAGUCUCCGCACAGAAAGGUUCAUUGGAACCACACGAGAAGCAAAUAUUAAGCUACAUGCCACUCAAAUGGAAGGAGUUCAGAUAAAAGCCAAAUUAAGCCAAUAAAACACAAUUAAGAUGCAGGAAAGAGAAUUCCUCUUUGGAGUGGACAUAUCCUGCGACGCCAGAUUUAUUAGAGGAUCUGGCGUGGGCUUGGCAAACCACACUGCCCAAAGGAAACAAAAUCAACCACAACAUCAAAGCCGUCAAACUGACCUGAACAACAAUAAAAGACCCAGUCAUAGGGAGGUGAUGUGCAUUGUUCCCAACAUAGGAGCCUACUCCUAGGGGCCAAGGUCCCUUCGCCCCCCCCCAUUACAUAUUUGAGGGAACUGUCCUCGUCCCCCCAGUUGAUGGGAAUUGCCAUUCAAAUGGGGGGGGGGUGCCACAUCUUGCAAUCGAUUAUGUGGAGUGGGACUUGUCUGGACCCUCCCAAUAUUUUAUUUAAGUUGGCACCCCUGGCUCCCAAUGAGCAGGAGGAAGUGACAGUUCCCUAAACCACUUCCUAAUCAGGACUGUACUAGUAUAAAACAUUUUCCCCAGAAGAAGAAAUCUUCCCGGGCAAUGAAGCGCAUAUGAAAUCCACACUGUGACUUUCCCAGUUGUUGGAAGCAAGUUGUUGCAAGCUUACUGUCUGCAUGUGAAACAUGGACCACUUAUAAACAUCAUCUCCAACUCCUUGAAAGAUUCUAUCAAUGGUGUCUCCAUUAAAUAAGCAUUGUCCUCGAAAUAUAUAUUAAAAAUAAAUAAAUUGUCCUGUAGCACCUUAGAG